GAUUCCUGCAAGACAGACAACCCUAUCCAAGCUCUUUUAGACAUCUUCCAAGGACAAAGCAAGAAAUUGAAGAGCAGUGAUAGCUUACCAGGCAGUAAUAGUGUGAGCUUGGUGUUACUCAGGCACGUGUCCCAGAGGUCGGACAUGAAAUACUGGGUUCUGGAAGGUACCAAACGUUAGCUGAUAGUCACUGCUGCCAUUGUCUUCUCAAAUGAGAUUAUGGAAUGAUUUGAAAAGUGGGAGGCAGCCUGGAGAUGCAGAGCCAGUGAGGAGGCCGUCCGUAAACAUUUCAGCGCCACAGAGACCAAACUAGAUCUUUGAAUUUGAGUGAAGCCUAUAGGAUUAUUUGGGAAACAUCUAAAAGAAAGCCUGACAUGUCCUGUGGAGCAUGCAUUGUACAUCUGCUUUAAACAUUUACUAUGUCCCAAAGCCAAGAAAGAUGCCCUUAAAGAGAGGGAUGUGUCUUCUCCCCAUCUCGGUAUUUCUUUAAGGAUAUUGCCCUCCAGUUAGGCAACGAGUCAGUGGGAGCGGCACUGAUGGAGAAGUCACUGCAGCAGCUCUGGUAUCAGAGCUAAUGAUGCCAUGGUAUUGUCCUGGGAAGGAAUAUAAGAAAAUGGAGAAGAGAAGCACAAUAACAAGUUCAGAAAGAUGAUAUUUUCACCACUCAGAAUUUUAGGUUCACAUUUAAAGAAUCUUAUGGAAGUCGGAAAAGGAAAGAACCAAUACAGCCUUUUCAGUUGUGGAAGAAUUAUUUGAAAUGUACUCUACUAUGUUACUGAAAAAGCACCACUGCUGGGAAAAGCUCAAUUCAAAUGUCUCUCCAAGUUUCUAGUUGAGAAUGUUUUCUGAGAGUUCAGAGUAAAGAGAUCCUCCUCAGGAGCCCCAGCUUACCUGGAAACUCAGGCACCUGUGAUUUCCCCUGGUUGCGGACCACACCCCUAAGACUUACGUGAUCAGGAUUAACAUAGAUAAUUCAAUAUUAACAUUGGCCUGUUCGGUUGAAAGCAGGAACUUUCUUUAUGUAAUGGCUUAUAUUAUUUGCUUCCUUCGUUAAAUUUCAUGCAAAAAAAUAGGUCUAAUAUUUUUCACUGGUGCAGUAUUCAACUCAGUUUAAAACUGCUUGUAAAGCAAGAUAGCAC
rnacentral:lncRNA from 1 species